UUUAAGUCUGAUGAAGUAUUCACCUCUGAUUUGGGAGACCCAUCAUCAUCAGGAUUCCAAACACGCUCUGGACAUAUAAUGAAUCGACUUGACCCACUUUUCAGAAGAGCUUUCCCCUCAUUCCAAAAGACUGGAGCCAUGAGAUUCAGGGCUGGAUCAAUUAUCAACUCUGUGGACCUU